CUACGGGCGGCAGCAGUGAGGAAUAUUGCACAAUGGGGGGAACCCUGAUGCAGCAACGCCGCGUGGAGGAUGACGCAUUUCGGUGUGUAAACUCCUUUUAUAUGUCAAGAAAAUGACGGUAGCAUAUGAAUAAGCACCGGCUAACUCCGUGCCAGCAGCCGCGGUAAUACGGAGGGUGCAAGCGUUACUCGGAAUCACUGGGCGUAAAGGACGCGUAGGCGGGUUGAAAAGUCAGGUGUGAAAUCCCACAGCUUAACUGUAGAACUGCACUUGAAACUUCUAAUCUAGAGUAUGGGAGGGGGAGAUGGAAUUAGUGGUGUAGGGGUAAAAUCCGUAGAUAUCACUAGGAAUACCUAAAGCGAAGGCGAUCUCCUGGAACAUUACUGACGCUAAGGCGUGAAAGCGUGGGGAGCAAACAGGAUUAGAUACCCCGGUAGUC
rnacentral:rRNA from 1 species